AAUCUACAGGUCGAGCAAGUCUCGUAAAUUUCACGAUUGCGAGCCACGCUUCACGCAACCGUGUUUGCGUACUUGUGUUUCGAGUUGCGUGGUCGUGCGGAGUUAUAUUUACCAAAUUUAAAUCCGUUCCAACAUGCUGUCAAAAUUAAAUCAAUAUGUCAAUAUGGCUACUGGGUGUAAAAGAUAAAUCUUAUUAUAUCUGUUCUUAAUGAGUUUUAGAUAAUUUUAGUUGUAUUUCUUUGUAAUUUUGUGUUGUACAAAGAUUAAUUUAACAUUUUCUCUGGAAGUAUUAAUUUAGAAAGAUAAUAUGCUUCAUUGGUGUUGUGUUUUGAAGUGUGAAAUGCAAAGUAAUUGUGAUAGAAGUCAAGAUAAAGUUCACUUUUAAACUGAACUAAAUAAGGUAUCUGAGAGACAACAAUGGUUAAAUGCAAUACAAUGUACAGGUUUUACUAGCGAAAUGAAAAUUUUCCUGUCCUGUCUGCUGUAAUCAUUUUAUAUCUGGAAAACCAGCCGACUUAAUCGAUAAUAACAAUCUCCAGAUUGGGUUCCUUCAAUAAAUAUGGGCUAUAAACACAAUGAAAUAAGUUCCCCAAAAUCUAAAAUGGAGUGGUAUCAAAGGAGAAUUAAAGGAAAAAAUAUUCAUUUUUAAAUUAUUUAUAAGGCACUGGACUGUCUUAAAUUCUACAAUAAUACUAGAAUCAGCUGAGAGAAGUGGUCUACAAAAAACCAGGAAGGAAACGGAAUAUGUGGCUACGAAAGGCAAAAGAAAGGUUUACAAAGCAAAUGUGACACAUUUUUUUGAAAUAUUUAGGAAUAUCAGUAAAUUGCAUUAAAAAAAUGUAUGAAAAGAUUUUGUUCAAUAAAAAUGUUUAUAUUUAUCACGGAUGUAUUAUUUGGUAUGGCCACAUAUCGUCAGUGAUGUAAUAAUACAUCCUAUCUGUUUUUUCAUGAGUUUUGUAAGAGAGACUAAAAACUUGUCUUAGGGUCACCUCCUGUUUUCAUAUGAUAUUUUUUGACUUGUUUUGUAGUAAAUUAAACUAUCUAUGAACUACAAAACAAGUCAAAACUUACAUAUGAACACAGGAGGUGACCUUAAAACAUGUUUUUCCAUCUCUCAUACAAAACUCAUGAAAAAACAGAUAGGAGGUAUUGUCACAUCAGCAAGGAUGUACAGUGAUAAGUGCCCUAAUAACCGGCAAAAUAUGGGCAACAUAUUUAGUUGUGAGAUAAAAAGAAAUGAAACUAGUCGAGCUGGGAAAUUUAGCGAAAUUAACCUUUAAAUUUACGUUAUAUUGAUCCCACCUUUACACAUAUCGGAGGAGUAUGUCAACUAAAACUGUCACUGUGACAGUGGUAGUUUCCAAACUCGUCUGAUACGUCUGAAGG